CGCAUUUGAAUAUUGUAAUGGCUUAUGGCAAAUGUUACCUACGCAGGUUCAUGUCGCCUUAAAGACCGUAAUAUAACAAAAAAGAAAUUUGAGAAUUGCCAAAUUUGUUCCAAAUGGUGGAGGGUAUUCAAAGUUCGGCUCGGCCGAACUUACAGUUUUUUUACUUGUUUUAAAUUAAAUCAUAAAUUCGACAGAACUCAAACAAAACGCAUGAAUAUAGAAUAUUGAAAUUUUGGGUGAGGGUCACUCUUGAGCCGAAUGGGUCAGAUAAGGCUGGGUUUUUUCCAGGAAGCCAAAUGUCUCGUCAUCUAAUUAGUGACGCGCAUGAAUGGAUUAACGAGAUUUCUACUGUCCCUAUCUACUAUCUAGUGAAACCACAGCACAGCAAGGGAACAUACUUUGUAUAAUUAGCGGGGAAAGAUGACCCUGUUGAGUUUGACUUU
rnacentral:ncRNA from 1 species